CCUACGGGUGGCAGCAGUGGGGAAUAUUGGACAAUGGGGGCAACCCUGAUCCAGCCAUGCCGCGUGUGUGAAGAAGGCCCUCGGGUUGUAAAGCACUUUCAGUGAGGAAGAACGCCUGGUGGUUAAUACCCAUCAGGAAAGACAUCACUCACAGAAGAAGCACCGGCUAACUCCGUGCCAGCAGCCGCGGUAAUACGGAGGGUGCGAGCGUUAAUCGGAAUUACUGGGCGUAAAGCGCGCGUAGGUGGCUUGAUAAGCCGGUUGUGAAAGCCCCGGGCUCAACCUGGGAACGGCAUCCGGAACUGUCAAGCUAGAGUGUAGGAGAGGAAGGUAGAAUUCCCGGUGUAGCGGUGAAAUGCGUAGAGAUCGGGAGGAAUACCAGUGGCGAAGGCGGCCUUCUGGACUGACACUGACACUGAGGUGCGAAAGCGUGGGUAGCAAACAGGAUUAGAUACCCCUGUAGUC
rnacentral:rRNA from 1 species